rnacentral:rRNA from 1 species
GAUGAACGCUGGCGGCGUGCCUAAUACAUGCAAGUCGAACGCGCAGCGAAAGGUGCUUGCACCUUUCAAGCGAGUGGCGAACGGGUGAGUAACACGUGGAUAACCUGCCUCAAGGCUGGGGAUAACAUUUGGAAACAGAUGCUAAUACCGAAUAAAACUUAGUAUCGCAUGAUACAAAGUUAACAGGCGCUACGGCGUCACCUAGAGAUGGAUCCGCGGUGCAUUAGUUAGUUGGUGGGGUAAAGGCUUACCAAGACGAUGAUGCAUAGCCGAGUUGAGAGACUGAUCGGCCACAAUGGGACUGAGACACGGCCCAAACUCCUACGGGAGGCUGCAGUAGGGAAUCUUCCACAAUGGGCGCAAGCCUGAUGGAGCAACGCCGCGUGUGUGAUGAAGGCUUUCGGGUCGUAAAGCACUGUUGUAUGGGAAGAAAUGCUAAAAUAGGGAAUGAUUUUAGUUUGACGGUACCAUACCAGAAAGGGACGGCUAAAUACGUGCCAGCCGCCGCCGUAA